CUUUUCCUUAUUCACUUUCUCCACAUCACUUCAUGAUUUAUACACCUCUAUCAUAUCCCCCGUCUAAGUCCCUCUUUCGCAAGAUGAAAAGUCCUGGCCUCUUUAGAUCGCAUCCUCUAUGAGGAAACCGUUCCAAACACCCUA